GGAGGUUAUCCGGGAUACAGGUGGUGCAUGGUUGUCGUCAGCUCGUGUCGUGAGAUGUUGGGUUAAGUCCCGCAACGAGCGCAACCCUUGUCUUAGUUACCAUCAUUCAGUUGGGCACUCUAGCGAGACUGCCGGUAAUAAACCGGAGGAAGGUGGGGAUGACGUCAAAUCAUCAUGCCCCUUAUGACCUGGGCUACACACGUGCUACAAUGGUUGGUACAACGAGUUGCGAGUCGGUGACGGCGAGCUAAUCUCUUAAAGCCAAUCUCAGUUCGGAUUGUAGGCUGCAACUCGCCUACAUGAAGUCGGAAUCGCUAGUAAUCGCGGAUUAGCACGCCGCGGUGAAUACGUUCCCGGGCCUU
rnacentral:rRNA from 1 species